CCUGAUCAGCCAUGCCGCGUGUGUGAAGAAGGCCUUUUGGUUGUAAAGCACUUUAAGCGAGGAGGAGGCUCCUAGUAUUAAUACUACUGGAGAGUGGACGUUACUCGCAGAAUAAGCACCGGCUAACUCUGUGCCAGCAGCCGCGGUAAUACAGAGGGUGCAAGCGUUAAUCGGAUUUACUGGGCGUAAAGCGUGCGUAGGUGGCCAAUUAAGUCAAAUGUGAAAUCCCCGAGCUUAACUUGGGAAUUGCAUUCGAUACUGGUUGGCUAGAGUAUGGGAGAGGAUGGUAGAAUUCCAGGUGUAGCGGUGAAAUGCGUAGAGAUCUGGAGGAAUACCGAUGGCGAAGGCAGCCAUCUGGCCUAAUACUGACACUGAGGUACGAAAGCAUGGGGAGCAAACAGGAUUAGAUACCCUGGUAGUCCAUGCCGUAAACGAUGUCUACUAGCCGUUGGGGUCUUUGAGACUUUAGUGGCGCAGCUAACGCGAUAAGUAGACCGCCUGGGGAGUACGGUCGCAAGACUAAAACUCAAAUGAAUUGACGGGGGCCCGCACAAGCGGUGGAGCAUGUGGUUUAAUUCGAUGCAACGCGAAGAACCUUACCUGGUCUUGACAUAGUAAGAACUUUCCAGAGAUGGAUUGGUGCCUUCGGGAACUUACAUACAGGUGCUGCAUGGCUGUCGUCAGCUCGUGUCGUGAGAUGUUGGGUUAAGUCCCGCAACGAGCGCAACCCUUUUCCUUAUUUGCCAGCGGGUUAAGCCGGGAACUUUAAGGAUACUGCCAGUGACAAACUGGAGGAAGGCGGGGACGACGUCAAGUCAUCAUGGCCCUUACGACCAGGGCUACACACGUGCUACAAUGGUCGGUAC
rnacentral:rRNA from 1 species